AUUGGAUUAAAAAAUAGUCUAAUCAUUCACUCAUGUGUUCUAGACUAUUCAGAUUUUAAAAUCUUGAAAGAUAAUGAGAUAAUACAAGCAUAGUAAUUAUUAGUUACUAAGGGGUACCCCCCCCAAAGAAUCACUCCAAAUCAGCUCCUUUCAACAUCCAUUGCCCACCCAGGCAACCAUCUCCUUGCCCACUUUGUGUCCCAGAACUGAGUCAAGAAUUGUCUACCUGGACAUGCUCAAGCUGUACCUGCCUCUGAAGGUGAAUGGGUUUUUGUUUCAAGUGCUAUCAGCAAAAUUCAUGGAAUAACACAUGUGCAGAGUAGGGAGGGCUUUCCCCUAGUCUCUCCAGGAGAUAGCUGAGGAUGGUGGGGAAGACCUAAAGAUAAGCACACCAGGAGGAUGCACAAGGUUGGGAAACUAUCUAGAAAGGUAAAUGUGCCUUAAAGAUGAGACAAGGCAAAGGGGGUGAUCACUUGUGUGUAGGCCAAGAGGGUAGAAGGGCUUGGAUCUGGGAUGGGCAAAUCUUUGUCCUUUCUAGGCUUCAACCUUCAUGGCUCAUCUAGUUCCCUGAACUAGAGCCCACCCUUGACGAUAGCUCGCAUGACCUGCAUCUGUGUCUCAUGUAUCUUGCAUUGUUCCUGGCUGCAUGUUUACCUGCUACAUAGGUUGGGAGAUGUCUGUGAUUUUUGCAUUUUGAUCACCAAUAGCUAGCAUUUAGCUUGUACGGUUGCAUCUAUUAAGUGAUAUAUAGCGAGUUGGAAAUCGGAGAAGUAACAAACUCACAUAGUCUGUGUUACAGUAGGUUAUCUUUAUGACAGUCACACACACACACACACACACACACACACACACACACACACACACCAGGCCAGAUAACAACUUGCUCAGUUCAGUUCUCUCCUUUUACCAUGUGAGUCUCAAGAAUCAAACUCAGGUCUUUAGGCUUGAAGACAGGCACCUGUACCCACCAAGCCCUCUCCCUGGUUAACCCUGAAAGGAAGGUCUUUCUAGAGUAUAGUUUUCCCACAUAAAAUGAUCUUUGAACAAUAGGCAAGCUCCCUAGCUUACUAUCUCUAGAGACUGCAAAUCCUGUAAUUCUGUGUAUAAAUAUAUGGACUACCAGCUAAGAGGCACCCGGCUAACUUGAUUGUAACCACUUGUAAUUACCAAAUUACGUUCCUGAUUGCUUCAGCUAGGUAAAGCUUGGCUUAUGUCCACAUGCUGCCUGACAGUUUUUCUGGGCCAUUGAAUUCUGGGUGGCACUGUACAUUUUUCUCUCAUUACUGAACAUUAUAUUUAUCAUCAGAAGGAUAAGGUUUUUUUUUUAAUCAUAAAUAAAAUACAUGGGUUACAUUAAGGAGACAUUCUAAGUAAUCAUUAGGGCUGAAAUUCUGUCAACCUGUCAUUGAAAAUAUGUGUGUACAAUGUAGUAAGGCAUCAAGACAGACAGAGUAAUUGUGUCACUUGAUAUAGAAGAAAAUGUAUAUUCAUAUUCAUGAAUAAAAUGUCAUCCAAGAGACAGUCCUCCAACAGGAAUGAGCAGCCAGCGUGGAUAUGUUCAAGAAGUCCACAAGUUAUAUUAGACAAGUGUCAUAUUAGCACGAG
rnacentral:lncRNA from 1 species